rnacentral:rRNA from 1 species
AGAGUUUGAUCAUGGCUCAGAACGAACGCUGGCGGCGUGCUUAACACAUGCAAGUCGAACGCGAAAGUUUUCUUCGGAAGACGAGUAGAGUGGCGCACGGGUGAGUAACGCGUAAGUAAUCUGCCCUGGUAUCUGGGAUAACCCACCGAAAGGUGUGCUAAUACCGGAUACGCUGAGCAAUCAGGAAAGGUGGCCUCUUCAUGAAAGCUACUGUACCAGGAGGAGCUUGCGUACCAUUAGCUAGUUGGUAGGGUAAUGGCCUACCAAGGCAACGAUGGUUAGCGGGUCUGAGAGGAUGAUCCGCCACACUGGAACUGAAACACGGACCAGACUCCUACGGGAGGCAGCAGUGAGGAAUAUUGCGCAAUGGGGGAAACCCUGACGCAGCGACGCCGCGUGGAUGAUGAAGGCCUUCGGGUCGUAAAAUCCUGUCAGAUGGAAAGAAAUGUAUGGUGGCUAAUACCUGCCAUAUUUGACGGUACCAUCAAAGGAAGCACCGGCUAACUCCGUGCCAGCAGCCGCGGUAAUACGGAGGGUGCAAGCGUUGUUCGGAAUUACUGGGCGUAAAGCGCGCGUAGGCGGUUUGUUAAGUCAGAUGUGAAAGUCCACGGCUCAACCGUGGAAGUGCAUUUGAAACUGGCAAACUUGAGUACUGGAGGGGGUGGUGGAAUUCCCGGUGUAGAGGUGAAAUUCGUAGAUAUCGGGAGGAAUACCGGUGGCGAAGGCGACCACCUGGCCAGAUACUGACGCUGAGGUGCGAAAGCGUGGGGAGCAAACAGGAUUAGAUACCCUGGUAGUCCACGCCGUAAACGAUGUCAACUAGGUGUUGGGGAGGUUAAUCUUCUCAUUGCCGCAGCUAACGCAUUAAGUUGACCGCCUGGGGAGUACGGUCGCAAGAUUAAAACUCAAAGGAAUUGACGGGGGCCC